AUAAAAAUUAUUUAUGGUUUUUAAAUUUAUUAUUUAUUUAUUUUACAUAUAAAUUUUAGUAAAUUUUAUUAUUUAAAAAAUAAUUUUAAUUAAAUAUGUAGUAAUUAUUAUUAAAAAUUUAAGUAAUUAAGAUUUAGUAAUAUAAAAAUUUAUAACAAAUUUUGUGCCAGCAGUUGCGGUUAUACAAAAAUUAAAUUAAAUUUUUUUUUAAUAAUAAAAAAUAAGUUAAUUUUAUUUAUAAAUAUUAAAUUAUAAAGUGAAAUUUUUAUUUUAAUUAAAUAAAUUAUUUUUAUGUUUUAAUAAAUUUUAAUAAUAAACUAGGAUUAGAUACCCUAUUAUUUAAAAUUUAAAUUUAAAAAUAUUAAAAUAGUAAAUAAAUAUUAUUGAAACUUAAAUAAUUUGGCGGUAUUUUAGUUUAUUUAGAGGAAUCUGUUUAGUAAUUGAUAAUCCACGAAUAAAUUUACUUAAUUUUUUUUUAUUUUGUAUAUCGUUGUUAAAAAAAUAUUUUUUUAUAAAAUUAAUAUUUAAAAAUUAAUAAUUUAAAUUAAAUCAGAUCAAGAUGCAGAUUAUAAUUAAGAUUAAAAAUGGAUUACAAUAAAUUUAUUUAUUUUGGAUUUUAAUUUUAAAUUGUUAAUUGAAAUUGGAUUUAAAUGUAAUUUUAUUUAAUUUAAUAAAAUGAUUUAUAUUUAAAAUAUGUACAUAUUGCCCGUCGCUUUCAUAUAUAAAUUGGAAUAAGUCGUAACAAAGUAGAGGUACUGGAAAGUGUUUCUAGAAAGUA
rnacentral:rRNA from 1 species